ACGCUCGACACCUACGGGGGCAGCAGUUGGGAAUAUUGGACAAUGGAGGAAACUCUGAUCCAGUGACGCCGCGUGAAGGAAGAAGGUCUUCGGAUUGUAAACUUAUUUUGUCAGGGAAGAAAAAAUGACUGUACCUGAAGAAAAAGCACCGGCUAACUACGUGUCAGCAGCCGCGGUAAUCUGAGCGGGCUGGCAAGGC
rnacentral:rRNA from 1 species